rnacentral:rRNA from 1 species
GACGAACGCUGGCGGCGUGCUUAACACAUGCAAGUCGAACGGUAAGGCCCUUCGGGGUACACGAGUGGCGAACGGGUGAGUAACACGUGGGUGAUCUGCCCUGCACUUCGGGAUAAGCCUGGGAAACUGGGUCUAAUACCGGAUAGGACCCUGGGAUGCAUGUCCUGGGGUGGAAAGCUUUUGUGGUGUGGGAUGGGCCCGCGGCCUAUCAGCUUGUUGGUGGGGUGAUGGCCUACCAAGGCGACGACGGGUAGCCGGCCUGAGAGGGUGACCGGCCACACUGGGACUGAGAUACGGCCCAGACUCCUACGGGAGGCAGCAGUGGGGAAUAUUGCACAAUGGGCGCAAGCCUGAUGCAGCGACGCCGCGUGAGGGAUGACGGCCUUCGGGCUGUAAACCUCUUUCAGCUAUGACGAAGCGCAAGUGACGGUAGUAGCAGAAGAAGGACCGGCCAACUACGUGCCAGCAGCCGCGGUAA